rnacentral:rRNA from 1 species
GGACUACUGGGGUAUCUAAUCCGGAUCGCUCCCCACGCUUUCGCGGCUCAGCGUCAGGACUGGCCCAGGCGGCCGCCUUCGCCACUGGUGUUCCUCCGGAGCUCUACGCAUUCCACCACUACACCCGGAAUUCCACCGCCCUCUACCAGCCUCCAGCCCGCCAGUAUCGCCCGACCUCGCCGAGUUGAGCCCGGCGCUUUCACGGCCGACUGAGCGGGCCGCCUGCCCGCGCUUUACGCCCAAUGAAUCCGGACAACGCUCGCCCCCUACGUAUUACCGCGGCUGCUGGCAC